rnacentral:misc_RNA from 1 species
UCCUGUUCAACGAUCAGGUUCUUCAGCGGUAUCUCCUCAAUCGUCCAGUGCUGAUAAAAGCUCUUCAUGGAAUGGUUCAUUAAGCUUGGCAGAGUACAAGAUCUAUAAGAAUGAAGGUCUCGCCGAUGCUUCAACUCAGACUGAUGAAAAUGGAAGCAAAUCUACACCGCCAGAGACUUGCACGAGAGGUGUUUCAACAGAUGAUGGGUCUAUAGAGCUUGGAAAUAAUGAAAUUCAAGAGGUUCAGGUUCAACCAACAAAUGAAUCUGCGCAGAUUUGCCGGGAGACAGUAUCGCCUGCUCCGUCUUCGUCAAGUGCAUCGUCAUCAGGUGGUAGAACAGAUACCUUAG